rnacentral:rRNA from 1 species
UACAGAGGUCUCAACCGUUGUUCGGAUUCAUUGGGCGUAAAGGGUGCGUAGGCGGUCGGGUAAGUCGGGUGUGAAAUCCCCAGGCUUAACCUGGGAACUGCAUUCGAGACUGCAUUGCUAGAGUAUGGGAGAGGGAAGUGGAAUUUCCGGUGUAGCGGUGAAAUGCGUAGAUAUCGGAAGGAACAUCAGUGGCGAAAGCGACUUCCUGGACCAAUACUGACGCUCAUGUGCGAAAGCGUGGGGAGCAAACAGG